rnacentral:misc_RNA from 1 species
AACAAGGCGUACCUGCGGACCUGCGGAAGGAUCAUUACAGAGUUGCAAAACUCCCUAAACCAUUGUGAACGUUACCUAAACCGUUGCUUCGGCGGGCGGCCCGGGUCCUUCCCGGCGCCCAUCGGCCCUCGCGGGCGCCCGCCGGAGGUAAACCAAACUAUUGCAUUGUAUGGCCUCUCUGAGUCUUCUGUACUGAAUAAGUCAAAACUUUCAGCAACGGAUCUCAGAUCGGAAGAGCAC